UCCUACUUAUCAUAGGCAGUUUCCUUAGAGUUCCCAACUGAAUGAUGGCAACUAAGGACGAGGGUUGCGCUCGUUGCGGGACUUAACCCAACAUCUCACGACACGAGCUGACGACAGCCAUGCAGCACCUGUGUUCCAGCCACCCGAAGUGAAGGAAAUCAUCUCUGAAAUCCAAACUGGACAUGUCAAGGCCUGGUAAGGUUCUUCGCGUUGCCUCGAAUUAAACCACAUGCUCCACCGCUUGUGCGGGUCCCCGUCAAUUUCUUUGAGUUUUAGCCUUGCGGCCGUACUCCGCAGGCGGAAUGCUUAAUGCGUUAGCGACGUCACUGAGGGCGUAGCCCCCAACAACUAGCAUUCAUCGUUUAUGGCGUGGACUAC
rnacentral:misc_RNA from 1 species